UACAGAGGUGGCAAGCGUUGUUCGGAAUUACUGGGCGUAAAGCGCUCGCAGGUGGUCCGAUGCGUCGUGCGUGAAAGACCCCGGCUCAACUGGGGAGUGUCGUGCGAUACGGUCGGACUGGAGGCCAGUAGGGGGAUGCGGAAUUCCGGGUGUAGUGGUGGAAUGCGUAGAGAUCCGGAGGAACACCAGCGGCGAAGGCGGCAUCCUGGACUGGUCCUGACACUCAUGAGCGAAAGCGUGGGGAGCGAGUCCGG
rnacentral:rRNA from 1 species